rnacentral:rRNA from 1 species
UACGGGGGGAGCAAGCGUUGUUCGGAUUUACUGGGCGUAAAGGGCGCGUAGGCGGCCACCGCAAGUCGACUGUGAAAUCUCCGGGCUUAACUCGGAAAGGUCAGCCGAUACUGCGGGGCUAGAGUGCAGAAGGGGCAACUGGAAUUCUCGGUGUAGCGGUGAAAUGCGCAGAUAUCGGGAGGAACACCCGUAGCGAAGGCGGUUCUCUGGGCCAAUACUGACGCUGAGGAGCGAAAGCGUGGGGAGCAAACAGG